rnacentral:rRNA from 1 species
GACAGAGGUGCCGAGCGUUAGGCGGAAUCACUGGGCUUAAAGCGUGUGUAGGCGGGCGGGCAAGUACCUUGUGAAAUCCCACGGCUCAACCGUGGAACGGCUGGGUAUACUGCCUGUCUUGAGCCAACUAGGGGUGAGCGGAACAGACGGUGGAGCGGUGAAAUGCGUAGAUAUCGUCUGGAACGCCGAAGGUGAAAACAGCUCGCUGGGGUUGUGCUGACGCUGAGACACGAAAGCCAGGGGAGCGAACGGG